rnacentral:rRNA from 1 species
UACAGAGGUCUCAAGCGUUGUUCGGAUUCAUUGGGCGUAAAGAGCUCGUAGGUGGUUCGGUAAGUCGGAUGUGAAAUCUCCAGGCUCAACCUGGAGGGGUCAUUCGAUACUGCCGUGACUAGAGGUCGGUAGGGGAGUGUGGAAUUCCUGGUGGAGCGGUGAAAUGCGCAGAUAUCAGGAGGAACACCCGUAGCGAAGGCGGCACUCUGGGCCGAGAUUGACGCUGAUGCGCGAAAGCCAGGGGAGCAAACGGG